rnacentral:rRNA from 1 species
ACCGAGCGAUCGGCANGGAACCCGAAAACCUGUCUCAGUUCGGAUUGGAGUCUGCAACUCGACUCCAUGAAGCUGGAUUCGCUAGUAAUCGCGCAUCAGCCAUGGCGCGGUGAAUACGUUCCCGGGCCUUGUACACACCGCCCGUCAAGCCAUGGGAGCCGGGGGUGCCUGAAGUACGUGACCGCGAGGAGCGUCCUAGGGCAAAACUGGUGACUGGGGCUAAGUCGUAACAAGGUAAC